rnacentral:lncRNA from 1 species
ACACACAUGAAGGAGUGCAACCACACCACCCACAGACUUCAAAAUUUACACUGGCUCGUCAUUCAGUUAAGGAUCUUUCCUAAAUUGCCUUCCUUGUUAUUUUGAAUUUUCUCCCUGACCUUCCUCCAGUUCCCUGAAAUGGCUUCACCUCUGUCAGCUUCUCCCUCACUCUGUGGCUUCAGUAUCAACCAUCAAGUCCUGGAGAGGACUGGCUUCCUGUUCCACCAAUAAAUCCCUGUCAGCUGAGGCGGGUGCAUAGCGAGAACUCUCCUUGCUGCCUUUUUUCCCAGCCCAAUUCUUCCUGCUCAUCCCUACCAAAUUCUUUUUCUCCCAGAGAGGUUUUUAUGACAUCCUUGCUCCAAAUCCAUUUACAAGAUUCAGUCCAAAAUCAUCAGCUGGAUAUAAUGGACCCCCCACAAUCUGGCAUCUUAAACCUUAUCUACUGCAAUUGCUCUUGCACCUUGAUUCCAGUUAGCAAUGCCUGUUCUCUAUUUUAAACAAUGACUAAUUUAUCCAACUCUAUUCAUUUGCUCAAACUAUUUUCUUGCCUACAAUAGCCUCCCAACAUUUUUCCACUCAAUCUGAGAACUCCCAAGAUUCCUUCAGCUGUUUCUACUACCUUUGGACAUGGAAUUUCAACAUAAAAAAGCAUUUUUCAGAGUUUCACUCUUGUCGCCCAGGCUGGAGUGCAAUGGUG